rnacentral:rRNA from 1 species
GACGAACCGUCCAAACGUUAUUCGGAAUCACUGGGCUUAAAGGGUGCGUAGGCGGCGCGGAAAGUUGGGUGUGAAAUCCCUCGGCUCAACCGAGGAACUGCGCCCAAAACUACCGUGCUCGGGGGAGAUAGAGGUGAGCGGAACUUAGGGUGGAGCGGUGAAAUGCGUUGAUAUCUGGAGGAACACCAGUGGCGAAGGCGGCUUCCUGGACCGACACUGACGCUGAGGCGCGAAAGCUAGGGGAGCAAACGGG